AUUGAACGCUGGCGGCAGGCUUAACACAUGCAAGUCGAGCGGUAGAAGCGAGCUUGCUCCUGGCUUCAGCGGCGGACGGGUGAGUAAUGCCUAGGACCCUGCCUGGUAGUGGGGGAUAACGUCCGGAAAUGGGCGCUAAUAUCGCAUACGUCCUGAGGGGGAAAGUGGGGGAUCUUAGGACCUCACGCUAUUAGAUGAGCCCAGGUCGGAUUAGCUGGUUGGUGGGGUAAAGGCCUACCAAGGCGACGAUCCGUAACUGGUCUGAGAGGAUGAUCAGUCACACUGGAACUGAGACACGGUCCAGACUCCUACGGGAGGCAGCAGUGGGGAAUGUUGGACAAUGGGCGAAAGCCUGAUCCAGCCAUGCCGCGUGUGUGAAGAAGGUCUUCGGAUUGUAAAGCACUUUAAGUUGGGAGGAAGGGCAGUAAGUUAAUACCUUGCUGUUUUGACGUUACCAACAGAAUAAGCACCGGCUAACUUCGUG
rnacentral:rRNA from 1 species